rnacentral:lncRNA from 1 species
CUGCUGACAGGUGCUGUCAGCACUGGAAAGCUGGAAGCUCCUCAAAAUAUAGACUUAAACUAAUAACUACAAUUAAUAAUAGUAAUUAAGUGCCAUCUUGCACUUUCCAGUCCAAACAGGGCCCCUCAUCUUCUUGCAGCAGAUGAGAUGAAUGAUUCGCCUGCACACAGCCUCUGUGGAGGGAGAUAUCAUGGUAGAUUCGCAUU